rnacentral:lncRNA from 1 species
AGUGCUAGCAUAGAAUCUAACAAGAAAUGGCCCUGCAUCCAUUCUCUUUUCUUCUAAUAACAGCCCCAGAUUUCCAUUUUUGGACCUACCUUUUCCUUUUUAUCAGGCUAAGUGUUCAUGGUGGGGCUCUGUCCUUAGUUCCAGGGAUAAAGCCUGUGACCCAAACUUAAACCGCAGAUCAUUUUCCCCAGGCCAUGGAGAUUGUUUCAAAUGUGGGCACAUGGCCUGAAUGGGUCAUAUCAGAGUAAAUCUUAGGGCUUCUGGGUUAUGCCACCAUCACAGGCUCUUGCUUUCCUCACUGAACUUGAACCUAGACGGAUGUAAGCUGGAGCUGUGGCAGCCAUCAUUGCCCUGUGAAAAGUCCACUUGGAGCUGCCAAAGACCACCCCAGGAGCUUCAGAAUGAAGACAACCUGGAAGUCAGAGCUGACAGAAAUAAGGUGAAGUUAGCUUGAGGAAAGAGCUGUAAGGAAGAGUGAAGUCAGCUGAGUCAAGGACACAAGCGGAAAAUGUGCAAAGAUGAGCCAGAAGCAUGGAAAAGUACCUCCAAGACAGAGGAGAACUGAUCCAAGAGAAAGGAGAUGGGAGUGGGCAUCACGUACAGCCAGAGGGCGCCACCUGCCGAAAUGCCUCUUAUUGUUUACAUUAUGAAGUCUCAACUUGGAUGGAAGCCCAACUGCAACACGGCCUCCUAAAAUGAGACGCAACUGUUCAACUGAACUGUUCUCAGGACUAAAAGGCUGUGUCAAUAAGAUACGGGGAAUAUUUGUUCUUCUGUGUGUUCCGAUCCUUGUUUUUCUUUCCCUUCGUUGAUCUCUUGUUUCACAACUUCCAACCCAAAUCUGCUCACAGCUACUAACUUGGCUUUUAACAUAUGAAACUUUCUAAAAGUAAAGUUUCAAAUGGGGAAUGAAGAGGCUCAGAAUACACUACCCCAAAACAUGUCACUCAGAACACAUCAUCCCCAAAUAUGCCACUUUGGCAUCAGAAUUAUUUUAAACUAAAGGCACAUAAAAACAGGAGAUGCAAGAAGAUCACUCUGACCUUCACUGUUCUUUAAAAGCCAGAGAUGAAAUUCCCAUGUGAAAGGUGUUCUCCCUAAACCAAGAAGAAAGUAACAUUCUCAUCACAAAGGAUAGGAAGUUGAGGCUGAUAGGAAUCUAUACAAGCAUCCCUUAUGUUCCUAAUUACUUAUUUACCCAGUUAUUUACCCUAGCAUAAGCCCCUUUGCCUUGUUACAUUUUCACAAUUCAGGGCAUAAAUGUUUGACUCUAGCUGCUGCUUUGUGUCUUCAUUUCCUUAUGAAUGCUCUCCUGCCAUUAAAAAACUUGCAUUAAAUAAUUUAUAUACUUUUCUCCUGUUGAUUUGUCUUAUGUCUAUUUAAUUCUCCAGGCCCAGGCAACAAACAAACAAACAAGAAAACAAAACAAAAACAAAAAACCCCCAACAACAACAACAACAAAACCAUAAAAGAGGAGGGGCAAAUUUUUGCCUCCUCUUCUGCAUUUUUCACAUGCUUUAUCCUGUUUUCACUUCUUUACUUUCUGGCACUAUAAGGUGUUCCAGGCUCAUCUUAUAUUUAUUUUCCCUAUCCUAGCCCUGGAAUCAGCCACUUCUACACUUCUUGAAGGAGUCCUGGUUCCUUUCAUCAGGGAACGGCAUUUCGAAAUCAAGAUCUGAGUGCUGGCUGUGCUCAUUGCUACUGGUGUCACUGCUCAUAGUCUCCUCUCUCUCAGUGGGCAGAGCUAGGUAAUUCAUGUAUGUAUAACUGACCCAUAUAUGCACACAUAUUAUAUUUUUGUAUCUACUAAAAAUAAAUCAACCAUGAGUUCAUACUGAUAUUUCUAACUCCAGUCCAGCACCAGGAUUUAUUCUAGCAUUAUCUCUGCUUAUUUGUAACUUCUUUCUGACAAUGAGAAAAGUGGAUCCCAUAGCUUACACUAUAUUUAAUUAUUUUUGAGCCCAAGUAUACCAUAGGUUUAGGGUUGUUUGUGAAAAACGAAUUUACCAAUGAGAGUUUGUUGCUUCUGUACUGUUCUUCUUGUCUUUGGCCUGACACUCUCCAGUCAAAACAUUGCUUUACAAAGGCACUUAGGUCAGCUCGUUUCUUCCCUCCUAACUUCCGUAUGGUUAUGUUUUUUUAUUUGUAAUACGGUUAGAUUCAUUUUAGCAGUCCGCUUUUCAUCUUGGAUUUCCCCAAGAUCUCAGUUGAUUUUUUAAAAAUUUGUAUACAGCAAAGUUUACCCUUUGUGGUGUAUAGGUUUAUGGGAUUGAGAAAGGCAUAGAGUCACGUGUACAACAAGACAGUUUAACUCAGAACAAUUGGACUGCCCAAAAGUUUCCUAAUGAGGCCCUUUAGUGGGGCAUCAUUUCAUAGGACUCCCCCAACUCCAGGCAACCACGGAUUUGUUUUCUAUUUUUAUAAUUUUGCUUUUUCCAGAAUGCCAUAUAAAUAGAAUCAUUCAGUAUGUAACAUUUUGGAUUUUCUCUCAUUUAGCAAAAAGAAUUUCAGAUUCAUUCAUGUGUUGUGGGUUGAUACUUUUUAUUGCUGAAUGGUAUCCCAUUGUCUGGAUAUACACAGACUUACUUACCCUUUCAUCUGUGAAAGACAGCUGAACUAUUUCUAGCUUUGGUAAUGAAUAAAGCUGCUAUAAACAUUCAGGGCCAGGCACAGUGGCUCACGCUUAUAAUCCCAGUACUUUGGGA